UACAGAGGUCCCAAGCGUUGUUCGGAUUCACUGGGCGUAAAGGGUGCGUAGGCGGUUUGAUAAGUCUGAUGUGAAAUCCCGCAGCUUAACUGCGGAACUGCAUUGGAAACUAUUUGACUAGAGGAAUGGAGGGGAGACUGGAAUACUUGGUGUAGCAGUGAAAUGCGUAGAUAUCAAGUGGAACACCAGUGGCGAAGGCGAGUCCCUGGACAACUCCUGACACUGAGGCACGAAAGCUAGGGGAGCAAACAGG
rnacentral:rRNA from 1 species